rnacentral:misc_RNA from 1 species
UCCCGGUUAACCCGGGCAGUCUCAUUAGAGUUCCCACCUUUACGUGUUGGCAACUAAUGAUAAGGGUUGCGCUCGUUGCGGGACUUAACCCAACACCUCACGGCACGAGCUGACGACAGCCAUGCAGCACCUGUACAGCGGCCCCGAAGGGAGACUCCAUCUCUGGAGCUGUCCACUGUAUGUCAAGCCUGGGUAAGGUUCUUCGCGUUGCAUCGAAUUAAACCACAUGCUCCACUGCUUGUGCGGGUCCCCGUCAAUUCUUUUGAGUUUCACCCUUGCGAGUGUACUCCCCAGGCGGUAUACUUAUCGCGUUAGCUACGGCACAAUUGGGGUUGAGUCCAAUUACACCAAGUAUACAUCGUUUACAGCAAGGACUAC